rfam:Capsicum annuum cultivar Zunla-1 chromosome 11, whole genome shotgun sequence
UGAUUAUAGUGUAGGCACUUUCUAACCAUGCCCUUAAAUCUAUCCCAAGCUUGGUAAAGAUUUUCUCUUUUUUUCUGCCUGAAACUCAAAAUCUUGCUUCUCAGAUA